CCUACGGGAGGCUGCAGUGGGGAAUAUUGGGCAAUGGGCGCAAGCCUGACCCAGCAACGCCGCGUGAAGGAAGAAGGCUUUCGGGUUGUAAACUUUUUUUCUCAGGGACGAAGCAAGUGACGGUACCUGAGGAAUAAGCCACGGCUAACUACGUGCCAGCAGCCGCGGCAAUACGUAGGUGGCAAGCGUUAUCCGGAUUUACUGGGUGUAAGGGGCGUGUAGGCGGGGAUGGAAGUCAGAUGUGAAAACCACGGGCUCAACCUGUGGCCUGCAUUUGAAACUGUGUUUCUUGAGUACUGGAGAGGCAGACGGAAUUCCUGGUGUAGCGGUGAAAUGCGUAGAUAUUAGGAGGAACACCAGUGGCGAAGGCGGUCUGCUGGACAGCAACUGACGCUGAGGCGCGAAAGCGUGGGGAGCAAACAGGAUUAGAUACCCUUGUAGUC
rnacentral:rRNA from 1 species